rnacentral:rRNA from 1 species
AGUGGAUGGGGAGCAACCUAGUUGUGCGUGUGUAAAGGUAGUGCCAAGAAAAGCGAUGAUCAUGUUGAAAAUCAAUUCCCGGUACCCGAAACCGACACAGGUGGGCAAGUAGAGAAUACUAAGGGGCGCGAGGUAACUCUCUCCAAGGAACUCGGCAAAAUGACCCCGUAACUUAGGGAGAAGGGGUGCCACCGAGAGGUGGUCGCAGUGAAGAGGCCCAGGCGACUGUUUAGCAAAAACAUAGGUCUCUGCAAACUCGAAAGAGGAGGUAUAGGGGCUGACGCCUGCCCAGUGCCGGAAGGUUAAAGAAGUUGGUCAGUUUUAGGAUGAAGCUAGCGACUGAAGCCCCGGUGAACGGCGGCCGUAACUAUAACGGUCCUAAGGUAGCGAAAUUCCUUGUCGGGUAAGUUCCGACCCGCACGAAAGGCGUAACGAUCUGGGCACUGUCUCGGAGAGAGGCUCGGCGAAAUAGGAUUGUCUGUGAAGAUACGGACUACCUGCAUUUGGACAGAAAGACCCUAUGAAGCUUUACUAUAGCUUGGAAUUGUGUUCGGGCUUCCUGUGCGCAGGAUAGGUGGGAGGCGUAGAAGGUAUUCUUGUGGGGAUACUGGAGCCAACGGUGAGAUACCACUCUCAGGAGGCUAGAAUUCUAACUUAAUUAAGGACAGUUUCAGGUGGGUAGUUUGACUGGGGCGGUCGCCUCCAAAAAGGUAACGGAGGCGUACAAAGGUUCCCUCAGACUGGUUGGAAAUCAGUCGAAGAGUGCAAAGGCAGAAGGGAGCUUGACUGCGAGAAGUACAGUUCGAGCAGGGUGGAAACACGGUCUUAGUGAUCCGACGGUGGUGUGUGGAAGGGCCGUCGCUCAACGGAUAAAAGUUACUCUAGGAUAACAGGCUGAUCUCCCCCAAGAGUUCACAUCGACGGGGAGGUUUGGCACCUCGAUGUCGGCUCAUCGCAACCUGGGGCGGAAGUACGUCCCAAGGGUUGGGCUGUUCGCCCAUUAAAGCGGUACGUGAGCUGGGUUCAGAACGUCGUGAGACAGUUCGGUCCAUAUCCGAUGUAGGCGUGAGAAUAUUGAGAGGAGCCUUCCUUAGUACGAGAGGACCGGGAAGGACGCACCGCUGGUGUACCUGUUAUGAUGCCAAUUGUAAACGCAGGGUAGCCAAGUGCGGAGAGGAUAACCGCUGAAAGCAUCUAAGUGGGAAGCCCACCUCAAGAUGAGUAUUCUGGUGUAAGGUCACGGGAAGACGACCCGUAAAUAGGCACGAGGUGGAAGCGCAGAGAUGUAUGAAGCCGAAGUGUACUAAUAGACCGUCGGCUUGAC